rnacentral:rRNA from 1 species
UGAGGGUUCGGCCCUCGGUGAACGGCUCAUAACACGUACAUAAUUUGCCCUUAGUGGAGGAUACCCUCGGGAAACUGAUAAUAAUACUCCAUAGAUUUAGAAUGCUGGAAUGCUUUUAAAUUGAAACAUUUAUCGCCUAAGGAUAAGUCUGCGGACUAUCAGGUCGUAGUUAGGGUAAAUACCUGACUAGCCUACGACGGAUACGGGUUGUGAGAGCACUAGCCCGGAGAUGAUAUCUGAGACACGAUAUCAGGCCCUACGGGGCGCAGCAGGCGCGAAAACUUCGCACUGUGCGAAAGCACGACGAGGGAAUCCCAAGUGCUGGCUCGUAAGAGUCAGCUGUCUCUUUGUCUAAAAAACAGAGAGAGUAAGAGCUGGGUAAGACGGGUGCCAGCCGCCGCGGGUAAUACCUGCAGCUCAAGUGGUGGCCGCUAUUAUUGGGCCUAAAACGUCCGNACCGGUUCUAUAAAUGCCCUGGGUAAAUCGUACGGCUUAACCGUACGAAUUCCGGGUAGACUGUCCACUUGGG